AAUUUUUUUUUAAUAUGAGAUUUUGACAAUUCAUGUUCUACUAACAAAAAUAUCUCAUUCUAUCUUAUUUUCAAUACCUUAUAAAACACAGCAUAAAAAAUUUGCAAAUUGCAAGGAUUAGUAAAAGUCUAAAAGAUAACCCAAAAAAGAAUAGAUAGACACAUAGACCCAAACCUGGAAAAAAAGAAAGAAAAAGAGGCUAACAGGAGGCUAACAGCAUCAGUGCAUCACAGUGUUUGCUGUCAACUUUUUUGUCCUUCAAAAAAAAAAUUCCUCCCUCACCCCCCCCUCCGUCCUCCAUCCUCCAUCCUCCACCAGACGAUGAGUUGUGACUGGUGAGGAGGAGUUUGGGAACUUGGAUAUGUGUGUCUGUCUCUGUAAUAGAUACACAUCAUUGUAGUUUAUUGGAAAUAAAGAGAAAGGAAAAAGGGAAAGUGAAAGGCAAGCAGCAAGGUUGCUUACUGAUAGAUAAUAAGUAAGCUUAGUGAGUGAGUGAGUGAGUGAGUGAGGAGAGGAGCAGUGGUGUUUUCAGCUUCAGCGAUGAAGUUUGGUGUUUUCUUCAUUGUUCUUCUGAUUUUGUUUGAUAAAUCAUCGGUUUCAG
rnacentral:lncRNA from 1 species